GAUGAACGCUAGCGGCAAGCUUAAUACAUGCAAGUCGAGGGGCAGCAUGACUGUAGCAAUACAGUUGAUGGCGACCGGCAAACGGGUGCGGAACACGUACAGAACCUUCCUUCGAGCGGGGAAUAGCCCAGAGAAAUUUGGAUUAAUACCCCAUAGUAUAUUGAAAAGGCAUCUUUUUAAUAUUAAAGAUUUAUCACUUGAAGAUGGCUGUGCGGCUGAUUAGAUAGUUGGUGAGGUAACGGCUCACCAAGUCUGCGAUCAGUAACUGGUGUGAGAGCACGACCAGUCACACGGGAACUGAGACACGGGCCCGACUCCUACGGGAGGCAGCAGUAAGGAAUAUUGGUCAAUGGACGAAAGUCUGAACCAGCUAUGCCGCGUGGAGGAUGAAGGCCCUCUGGGUUGUAAACUUCUUUUAUAUGGGACGAAAAAGGGCUUUUCUAGGCCAACUGACGGUACCAUGUGAAUAAGCACCGGCUAACUCCGUGCCAGCAGCCGCCGUAAAAC
rnacentral:rRNA from 1 species